CCUACGGGAGGCUGCAGUGAGGAAUAUUGGUCAAUGGACGAGAGUCUGAACCAGCCAAGUAGCGUGAAGGAUGACUGCCCUAUGGGUUGUAAACUUCUUUUAUAUGGGAAUAAAAUGUUCCACGUGUGGGAUUUUGUAUGUACCAUAUGAAUAAGGAUCGGCUAACUCCGUGCCAGCAGCCGCGGUAAUACGGAGGAUCCGAGCUUUAUCCGGAUUUAUUGGGUUUAAAGGGAGCGUAGAUGGGUUGUUAAGUCAGUUGUGAAUGUUUGCGGCUCAAACGUAAAAUUGCAAUUGAUACUGGCAGUCUGGAGUACAGUUGAGGUAGGCGGAAUUCGUGGUGUAGCGGUGAAAUGCUUAGAUAUCACGAAGAACUCCGAUUGCGAAGGCAGCUUACUAAACUGCCACUGACAUUGAUGCUCGAAAGUGUGGGUAUCAAACAGGAUUAGAUACCCCUGUAGUC
rnacentral:rRNA from 1 species